rnacentral:lncRNA from 10 species
CCCAGCCAGGAUUUUCAAGGCUGCCAGGAGGGACAGGGCUGGGGGCAGGCAGGAUCGGGAGGCAGCCAGCUGAGACGGCCAUCGUCCCCAGAAACAUCGCCCGAACCCCUCCCUGGCCCUCCAGCCUUGUUAGGGGAAGAGAAAGGAUUACCCUGCACCUAGAGAGUGUAAUCAAUUCCCCACAACCCUCGGCAGGAGGGACGGGAAAGCCACUGCCUGCUCAAAUGUGUAUGGAUUAAAAAUAUACAAAUGGAAUAUUUUUUUCUUCCCCUCUCCUCAACCCCCUGAAGCCUAGGAUGCUUGUUAAAAAUAGCCUUGCUGUGGCAUGGAUCCUACACAACCCAACGGCUGGCAGAAAAAUUAAGGAGCCACUGGAGACAGCGCUGUUAAGUGGCUACCCCUGGGGAGUGGAAUGGGGAGGGCCAGGAGGGAGGGAGGUGCUUUCAAGUGUUGCCGGACACACUUCUACAUUGCCUGGAUUUUUAACAACAAGCAGAUAUAAAAUAAGUUCAUUGUUUUUUACUGGAGUUUCAUCCUUUGCAUCCUCCAGCCUACGUUUAAGGCUGAAUUCAUACUUAGUGACCCGACAGUACCUGCUGGCUGGCCUGGCAGUGCUCCAAGGAGACCCAGGACGCUCAGGCCACCCGGUACAAACACAGCCCAGCAUCAAGAAAACAGCACUGAAUCAGUCAGUCUUGGAUCUGUAACCAGCUGGCUGUGCGACCUUAGCCCACACUCUGGAGGCCGCAUUGCUGGCUGGUUAAGAAAUGUGGGCUCUGGAAUCAGGGAUGAACCCAGGAAGCCCUUGAGGAUUGCUGCCACUCAAAAUCCCCUGGACUCUUGUUGGUGACGGGGCAGGAGUGGAGAGGAGGACAAAGCCGGCAGCCAGCAAAGGAGGGCCCAAGUUCAAAGGUGUUAAAAGACCCGUGGCUUUGGGUGUCUCAACCAGCAAACUUCUCCUCCCUCACGGACUUUCUACAGGCUUGCAAGCCAACUGGUUUCCCCAGUGGGGAAAGUAUACCACCACUGUCUAAAAGGAGGGCCUCUCGCCAUGGAUGUGCUACAAGAGGAGAUAACAAAUGCAUUUGGGUUUCCAAUGGCCCAGCUGCACCGUGUUAAGAAAAACGCCGUUUUCCUGCUCUUAAUCCAUUCCUGGUGGAGAUGUUGCUUCAACUUGAAGGAGCCUUUUAUGUGCUGAAGUCAACUGCAAUCUAAAAGAUAAGUUAAAUCACUUAUUCAGGAAGACAGGAAGCCUUUGACAGCAGUGACUGAUUAAGAUUUCACAGCAGCCAGAGCCAGGCCUACGGAACCCAAAGAGUGCUCGUUCCCUCACCAACCAGCACUGUUGGCCCCUCCUUGGCAGCAAGCCAAGCUCAGAAUCCUACCCUCGGGGAGAUUUCCCUCUGACAGAGCAUGGAGGGGGCUGGAGCAGACAGAGGGGAGUGCUAAGUCCCAGCAGGUGAACCUGAGAGCCCUGAUGACAGGAACUAGAGAUACCCCACCCUCUGCCCAGCCCCCUUCCUCACCUCCAUUUAGCCUUGGCCUGGUCUCCCAUGGUCAGCUCAAGGGUCCCCUCUUCCAGGAAGCCUUCCCUGACCCUACAGGCCAGGACUCGCAGGUGCCUUUACACAACAUGUUCCUAGAGCACUUGUACUUUACCCCAUCCUCGCACCUUUGACUCUGAAGACUUGCCUGUCACCUGGCAUGGCAGCCACUUGACUGUGAGCACUCUGGGGGCAGCACAUGGUACCAUGCUGGAUGCCCACUAAGCUCUUGGCACGUGUUUGGAAGGCAGAGGAACCUGAGCUCAGGGAACAGAGUGACUACCUGCCUUGCCAGUGUCACCUGCCAGCUUAUCCAAGUGCUCACAGCCCUGCUGGCUGCUAACCACUGGGCCAGGCCCUGGGGGCAUCCGCAGUAUUCCAACAGGGCUUCUUGUCCUAAAAUGCCACCCAGGCCCCAAAGGCCCACUGUUAGAAUCCACUCUUUUAGCAAAGCAUCACCUCCAGAAAGUUCCCAUCCCCAAGAGGAGGCACAGUCUCACCCUGUGGUCCUCUUCAUCUGCUUGGCCAGCCAGGGAUGGGGCUCAGGGGAAGGAUUAAUCUAGGGCCCAGGAUGCUGACCAGGGUGAGCAGGCUGGAGGAGGCACUGGGGUGGGCAGUCCAUGGGCAGCCUGGGGGCACUGGGUCCAGAAGAUGAAAGUAUGCCUCAAGGGCAUCAAGGUAAGAUCCCAACUUUACACAUGAACAAAACCCUCAGAAGAGCAGAACUGGGCUAAGUUCAGGACAGAAGAGAUGUGCAAGCAGGUGAGCAAAUGAUGUCAAGGUUGGAGGUGAGCUGAAAGGCGCAGGGGGUAGCUCUGUGGAAAGCACAGUGUUCACUGUGUUGGGAGGGCUGGGACCCAAGUUACUCCACCCCUAGUCCCCCACUUCUGCACCAGUGGUAGCCCUGGGCAGGCCAUCAACCUUAGAUAUCUGAAUAUGAGAAUCAUCAUCUGCCCUGCCUGCCUUGCACAACUACUGCUCUACAUUAAAUCAGAAAGGAGAUGAGAAAAUUCUCUAGAAGCCUAAAAGCAAUAUAGAAAUAGAAACUGUUGUAACAAUCAUCAUUUGCUUUUUCAGAGUGUCUUGCAGCCUGUAUAGGGCUUUCCUAUCCAGUAACCUCCUAACCCUCAAAACAACUCUGGGAGAUAGGUAUGGAUAUGUAUACUCAAUUUACAGAUGUGAAAACUGAGGAACAGAUAGUUCCAGCCCAGAAUCACACCAAUAACAAGGGGCUGAGGUGACAGCUAUGUCCAGGUCUUCUGCUGCAAAUAGAGUAUUCUAUUUACCACACCAAGAUGUACCCUCCAUUGUCUAAAAUCACAAGCUCUGGCUGUACAGAAAACCCUCCUUAUUCUUCAGUCUUUCUAUGGAUUUGUUGAUUCCUCCUCCUUCUUCAAUCCAUCCGUGGAUUUGCUGAUUGACAAAUGAGCUUCCCUGGUCUCCUUGUCAUGGCACUGUUUGGGGGAGUUUGUGGUCAGAGUUUUUAUCUGAGGACAAGAAACCAGGCUGCAGCCUGGGCUCAGCCUCUUAUCCAUUGUGGGGCUAAGGAAGAGUCCCUGUCCCCCAGUAUUCUCCAAUCCCAUCUGAUGUUAAAACCUCUUAAUGACCCUGAUCUAAGCAUUUCCAGAAAAAGGUUCUCAGGGCCUUUCUGGGGGUGGCGGGGGCAAUCCUUUGUGACAGCAUGAAAAGCCGGAUGGGGCUGGCCUGGUUGCAAUGGCACACGCUAGGUUCCAGGCACUCCACACGUUUCUCAUGAUAACCUCGUGGUUGAUACUCACACAGAUGAGGAGCUGAAAGGCUGCAGGAGCUGCCCACCAUCCUCACACAGCGUGGAAGUGGUAGCACCAAGACUGAGGCCCAGGAGGGGGGUCCAAAGGGCCAUCCUGCAUUUUCCAUUGCAGCAGGGUGGGAAGGAGAGGGAGAUAGAGACUUUACCUCUACUCUAAAUCACCUCCUUAGGUUGCCAUAUUUUCCUUACUUCAAUGAAUUAUGUGGAACAAAAUACACUCAAUUGGUAGCAGAAAUCGGCCUCCAGUUUCUCAGAUCCUCAUUCAACGAAAGCAUCCUUUGCAGGUGCCACUGCUUGGGAAUACACCUGUAAUUCACAUCUGCACACAAAACUCCAUCUUUCUUUGAGGCCUGAACAAACAGGUUUUUGUCGUUUUGUGGUUUUUGUUUGUUUGUUUGUUUAAGAGAUGGGGUCUCACUAUGUUGCCCAGGCUGGCCUCAAACUCCUGGGCUCAAGGGACCCUACUGCCUCAGCCUCCAGAGUAGCUGGGAUGACAGGUGCACACCACUGUGUCCAGCUUUACAAAUAGGUUUCUUAGGCUGACCUUAUCAAUCUCAACAUCAACACAAUUAAGGAAUUUGCUCACAAUAGUCUCCUGUUGGAGUCUUUACGUGCACGAACAUCGUUCUCACAGACCAUCCAAUAUGGACAAACUUGACUUGGAAACAGGAAAAUAGGGAGGUAAUUAAUCACCUGGUAAAAGGACACACCCCAGAUGUACUUUUCACAUCACCAUCCCCAAAUAUGCCUUAAGGGGCAUCAAGGUAACAUCCCAGCUUUAUACCACAUGAAUAGAGCUUCUCUAUUCAUGUGGUUUUCAGAACAUAUCCAUCUACUAGACUCAGGAACUUGACUUGAGAGACAUGGAUAUUUCUUGCUUCCUGGCAGCAAAUCCAACAGCAAUUCCAGUCCCUGCAGCCAGUUAGGCAGGGAGGAAAGGGCUGGUGUGUCAGGGCUGGUCCAAGCACACUGGUAUACUUGAGUCAACAUCUGCAGCAGAGGAAGGGAGACAGAGGGGACUGAAUAAACGGAGCUGUGCCAUUGGGAGUCCACCAAGCACGCCAAUGCCCUCCUACGCCCCUCAGCUCCAGGCCUCCUGGCCUCACACCACCCUAGAACAUUCUUGUUGCCCAAACCUCAGAGGAGGGCUUUCCCUGAACCAACUCUGACUUCCUGCUUCCUCUCUGACCCUACAUGGUGGUACUCCACCUCUGCCAGACAUCCCUUCCCUGCUCUGCCUGCAGCUUCAUCAAAGCCUACUGGGCCCUGGAGAAGAGAGCCAUGCCAAUCCCCCCUGCAGUGAGCUAGCACAGUGCAUUCAGGUUAGUUACUUUCCUUCUUGGGCAUCUCUGGUUUAUAACAUGAGCCUCUUGGAGAGGGCGGUAUUUUGAACAAAAGGAAAUAAUCUUUCAUUGUGAAAUUUCAAGGACUGUGGGGGAAGAAAUCCAGUGAGGCUGGAGGGCAGUAAUGGGGGAACAGAGAGAUCUCUGAGAUACAACAAUGUCACACGGACCAGCCAUGAGCUACUACUGGAAAUCUGUUUUUCAAAAUUUAAAAGAGUCAAUUUCCAGAUGUCUGCUUAGCGGAGCCAAACUGCUGUUGAUUUGUUCCCAGUUCGCCACGGAAUAAAGUCUGAACUCCUCACCCGAGCACUCCAGACCUUCCACGUUCUGGCUCCCAUAAAGCCUGCUCUCCUUCCUGCCCCUCCUAGGAACCCCACUUAGCCAUUCGCUUCCGCACUAUCCUGCAGACCUGCUCGGGGCUUCCCAGCCUGCACACUAGCCCAGGCCUGAGCAUGCUCCUUUACCAGCACCACUGCACUGCACAACUCCAGUGGGUGCCGUGCUCAUGCCAGGCUGUGUGUGUGCAGUGCACAGCAUGGCAAUCCAUGUGCUGCCUCAUCCAUAGCCUCCACUUCAGGAAGUCUCCCGUGCACCCCUGCAACCUUCCUCUUCUCAAUUUCUUUGUUGCCUAGAACCUGCAGCUCACUUCAGGCACUGGACACUCCCUGCUUCACAUUCUCUUGAUCUGAGUGGGUGGGGGUAGGUCCCCAAUCAGAGCACAAAUGCCCUGAGGGCAGUGACUGAGUCCUAAGACCUCACACCCCAGGUGAGCGGGCUGAGAAGUU